CACAACCCAGGUGACAUCACAGCACCCACUCCUCCUGCUGGUGCAGCACUUGGGUGCUCCUUCCCAAGGCAAAAGGGUCACUGAGGGAAAGCUCAGGGGUUUCCAAAAGACUCUCCAAGCUUGGAGCAUGAUCUGCUCUGCUGUGUAGCUACAGGAGAAGUUCAGGGAGCUGCUUUGGGCCUUUUUGAGUUUUAAAGCUGAGCUGGUGAGCAGGAAACAUCAAACCAAGCUAUGGAGAGCAGUGCCACGAGGAAGGAGGUGCUGUGGAAUUGUACUCUGAGUCCCACCAUUUGUCCCCCAAAACUGGCUCACUCCUUGAGCUCUGGACCCACAGGAUCCCAUUUCCACAUGGGAUAAACUGUGCAUUCCUGUAUCCUUUGUCUGCAGCUUUGAGUCUGCACUCUGAGAACCCCGUGAAUAAACCCAAAAUUGAUUUUU